UGCAAGAGAACGUGAAACCGUUAUAGUGGAAGCGGAUGGAGCCGACGUAUCCAGUGCGUAUUCAGCCGUUGUGGGGUGCAAUUCGGGGGUGUGGAGUUCUGCAAAGUCUCCCUCCCUCGACUGUUGUGCUCUGUUGCGGUGCAUUUGCGUACAGAGUGCGCCGAAUCGGCUGGACCCGUUGUUUGAGGGGCGCAUAGAGGACCAGCUUGCUGGAAACCUGUGCGCUCGGAGGGCAAAUGAGUCUAGUCGUUUGAAGUGAGCUGGUUUCUCGCAGUGGGUAGGGGGCAUGCCGUUGGUUUUUGUACAGCACAUGUGUUUUGCAGUCACGAAUGGUAUGUUCCCCGUUCACAGCUCUGCUCACGAUUCGGUGUUCAGUCGGUCACCCAUUUGACCCGUCUUGAAACACGGACCAAGGAGUUUAAGGUGUACGCAAGUCAUUGAGUGCGGAAACUCAAAGGCGGAAUGAAAGUGGGACAUUUGAUGUCUGCGAUGCGACCGGUGUGUGAUUCGUUGCUUGCCGGGCAGCAUCGACCCAUGACUAGAACUUGUUCUGUUGUGGAGUCCGAGCGUACGCUUUGAGACCCGAAAGAUGGUGAACUAUGCCCGAACAGGACGAAGUCAGAGGAAACUCUGAUGGAAGUCCGAAGCGGUUCUGACGUGCAAAUCGAUCGUCUGAUUUGGGUAUAGGGGCGCAAGACUAAUCGAACCAU
rnacentral:rRNA from 1 species